rnacentral:rRNA from 1 species
UGGGGAAUUUUGGACAAUGGGCGAAAGCCUGAUCCAGCCAUGCCGCGUGAGUGAAGAAGGCCUUCGGGUUGUAAAGCUCUUUUAGUCGGAAAGAAAGAGUUGCAAUGAAUAAUUGUGAUUUAUGACGGUACCGACAGAAAAAGCACCGGCUAACCACGUGCCAGCAGCCGCGGUAAUACGAAGGGGGCUAGCGUUGUUCGGAAUUACUGGGCGUAAAGGGUGCGCAGGCGGUCUUGCAAGUCAGAUGUGAAAGCCCCGGGCUUAACCUGGGAAUUGCGUUUGAAACUACAAGGCUAGAGUGCAGCAGAGGGGAGUGGAAUUCCAUGUGUAGCAGUGAAAUGCGUAGAGAUGUGGAAGAACACCGAUGGCGAAGGCAGCUCCCUGGGUUGACACUGACGCUGAGGCACGAAAGCGUGGGGAGCAAACA